rnacentral:rRNA from 1 species
UACGGAGGGUGCAAGCGUUAUCCGGAUUCACUGGGUUUAAAGGGUGCGUAGGUGGGUUGGUAAGUCAGUGGUGAAAUCUCCGAGCUUAACUUGGAAACUGCCAUUGAUACUAUUAAUCUUGAAUAUUGUGGAGGUCAGCGGAAUAUGUCAUGUAGCGGUGAAAUGCUUAGAGAUGUCAUAGAACACCGAUUGCGAAGGCAGCUCACAAAACUGUAACUGACGCUGAGGCUCGAAAGUGUGGGGAGCAAACAGG